rnacentral:rRNA from 1 species
AACGAACGCUGGCGGCAUGCCUAACACAUGCAAGUCGAACGAGACCUUCGGGUCUAGUGGCGCAAGGGUGCGUAACGCGUGGGAACCUGCCCUUAGGUUCGGAAUAACUCCCCGAAAGGGGUGCUAAUACCGGAUAAUGUCUUCGGACCAAAGAUUUAUCGCCUUUGGAUGGGCCCGCGUUGGAUUAGCUAGUUGGUAGGGUAAAAGCCUACCAAGGCGACGAUCCAUAGCUGGUCUGAGAGGAUGAUCAGCCACACUGGGACUGAGACACAGCCCAGACUCCUACGGGAGGCAGCAGUGGGGAAUAUUGGACAAUGGGCGAAAGCCUGAUCCAGCAAUGCCGCGUGAGUGAUGAAGGCCUUAGGGUUGUAAAGCUCUUUUACCCGGGAUGAUAAUGACAGUACCGGGAGAAUAAGCUCCGGCUAACUCCGUG